CGGUGAGAGGUGUGAUAAAUGCUGAAGUUAUUUCCUAAGUGAAGUGAAGAAAACGAAAAUUAUAUCAGUGCUGAUGAAGUAUUUGGGGCAGCUGAUAACAAAAACUACUGACAGAGGAAGUUCUUCAGUUUUCCUGACUCAGGGAUUGUACCUAUCUACUACCAUAUUGUAAUACAAUAAUAUAAUGCUAUAUUAUGCUUUUAUGCAAAGCUUUUAAGCUUAACUGUAUAUCCUAUGCUUGUUCUUUUACUC